AUUGAACGCUGGCGGCGUGCUUAACACAUGCAAGUCGAGCGGUAACAGGCGUAGCAAUACGUGCUGACGAGCGGCGAACGGGUGAGUAAUGCUUCGGAAUCUUCCUCGUAGUGGGGAAUAACCUGGGGAAACUCAGGCUAAUACCGCAUACGAACUACGGUUGAAAGCAGGGGAUCGCAAGACCUUGCGCUAUGAGAUGAGCCGAAGUCGGAUUAGCUAGUUGGUGAGGUAAAGGCUCACCAAGGCGACGAUCCGUAGCUGGUCUGAGAGGACGACCAGCCACACUGGGACUGAGACACGGCCCAGACUCCUACGGGAGGCAGCAGUGGGGAAUAUUGGACAAUGGGCGCAAGCCUGAUCCAGCCAUGCCGCGUGUGUGAAGAAGGCCUUCGGGUUGUAAAGCACUUUCAGUAAGGAGGAAGCGUUGAGUGUUAAUAGUACUCAGCGUUGACGUUACUUACAGAAGAAGCACCGGCUAACUCUGUGCCAGCCGCCGCUGUAAAAC
rnacentral:rRNA from 1 species